GUGGGGAAUAUUGGACAAUGGGGGGAACCCUGAUCCAGCCAUGCCGCGUGUGUGAAGAAGGCCUUUUGGUUGUAAAGCACUUUAAGCGAGGAGGAGGCUACCGAGAUUAAUACUCUUGGAUAGUGGACGUUACUCGCAGAAUAAGCACCGGCUAACUCUGUGCCAGCAGCCGCGGUAAUACAGAUGGUGCAAGCGUUAAUCGGAUUUACUGGGCGUAAAGCGCGCGUAGGUGGCCAAUUAAGUCAAAUGUGAAAUCCCCGAGCUUAACUUGGGAAUUGCAUUCGAUACUGGUUGGCUAGAGUAUGGGAGAGGAUGGUAGAAUUCCAGGUGUAGCGGUGAAAUGCGUAGAGAUCUGGAGGAAUACCGAUGGCGAAGGCAGCCAUCUGGCCUAAUACUGACACUGAGGUGCGAAAGCAUGGGGAGCAAACAGGAUUAGAUACCCUUGUAGUCC
rnacentral:rRNA from 1 species